AUCUGAUAGGUAUAUAAAAAUGCCCAGUAAUGCUGAACUUGUUAACGUACAACAGCAGUUUUACAAACAGGCUUCGUUUUCCAGAGUUAUUGGAUGCGUUGAUGGAACCCAUAUAAAAAUCCAAUCUCCAGUAUUUCGAAGAGGACCCCGAAGUAUUCCGAAACAGAAAGGGGUAUUUUUCAAUUAACACUCAAGUCGUUUGCGAUAGCAACCUAAAAAUCAUGGAUUUGGUGGCAAGGUGGCCGGGAUCUACACGAUACCACCAUUUUUAUGAAUUGUGCAUUAAAAGCCAAAUUUGAAGGACAUUAUUUUCCAAAUUCUCUGUUACUAGGUGAUUCCGGAUACCCUUUAAAAUCAUACUUGCUAACCCCAUUGGCUAAUACUGGAACUAGGACUGAGCGGCUUUAUAAUGAGUCUUAUAUUCGGACGCGGAAUUGUAUUGAGAAGCUGUUUGGCGUCUGGAAAAGACGUUUUCCUGUACUAGCCUACGGUUUACGACUAAAAGUGUCUACUGUUAUGUCAGUUAUUCUGGCCACAGCUGUUCUGCAUAAUAUUGCCAGAGCAAAUAGUGAGCCGGAGCCUCCACCACCAGAAAACGUUAAUUUGAACGAGCUUAAUUAUCUCAUUGCAGCUGGACAAAUCCCUGAUAUCCCUAAUGUUAAUUCCCAUAAUCUUAAUUUUAGAAACACAUUAGU